CCUACGGGGGGCAGCAGUGAGGAAUAUUGGUCAAUGGACGAGAGUCUGAACCAGCCAAGUAGCGUGAAGGAUGACUGCCCUAUGGGUUGUAAACUUCUUUUAUAUGGGAAUAAAAUGUUCCACGUGUGGGUUUUUGUAUGUACCAGAUGAAUAAGGAUCGGCUAACUCCGUGCCAGCAGCCGCGGUAAUACGGAGGAUCCGAGCGUUAUCCGGAUUUAUUGGGUUUAAAGGGAGCGUAGGUGGGUUGUUAAGUCAGUUGUGAAAGUUUGCGGCUCAACCGUAAAAUUGCCGUUGAAACUGGCAGUCUUGAGUACAGUAGAGGUAGGCGGAAUUCGUGGUGUAGCGGUGAAAUGCUUAGAUAUCACGAAGAACUCCGAUUGCGAAGGCAGCUCGCUGGACUGCAACUGACGCUGAGGCUCGAAAGUGUGGGUAUCGAACAGGAUUAGAUACCCUAGUAGUC
rnacentral:rRNA from 1 species